rnacentral:lncRNA from 1 species
UUGGUUUCCCUGAAGUCUCUCUUCUUGGCUUGUAGAUAGUUGCCUUCUUGCUGUGCCCUCACCUGCACCCACAUAUUUGGUGUCUCUUCUUCUUGUUAUAGGGACACCACUUAUAUUGAAUUAGGGCCCCACCCUAAAGACCUUAUCUUAGUCAUAUCUUUAAAGGUACUGGGGGUUAGGACUUCCACAUGUGAAUUUUGAAUGGACACAAUUCAGUCCAUAGCAGUAAGUUGACUGACAUUCUAGGGUUUUACAACAACUCUCAAUUAUUUCCUCUCCUUGCUUCUUUUUCUUUUUUUUUCUUUUUUUUUUUGGUGAGACAGAGCCUUGCUCUGUUGCCCAGGCUGGAGGGCAGUGGCGUGAUCUUGGCUCACUGCAACCUCCACCUCCCGAAUUCAAGUGAAUCUCAUGACUCAGCCUCCCAAGUAGCUGGGAUUCCAGCCACGUGCCACCACGACCAGCUAGUUUUUGUAUUUUUUGGUAGAGACGGGGUUUCACCAUGUUGGCCAGGGUGGUCUCAAACUCCUGAUCUCAAGUGAUCCACCCACCUUGGCCUCCCAAAGUGCUGGAAUUACAGGCAUGAGUCACCGUGCCCAGCUGUGGUUUUUUGUUUUUGUUUUUGUUUUGUUUUGUUUUGAGAUGGAGUCUUGCUCUGUUGUCCAGGCUGGAGUGCAGUGGCAUGGUCUUGGCUCACUGCAAACUCCACCUCCCGGGUUCAAGCAAUGCUCCUGCCUCAGCCACCCAAGUAGCUGGGAUUACAGGUGCCUGCCACCACGUCCAGCUAAUUUUUUGUAUUUUUAGUAGAGAUGGGGUUUCACCAUGUUGGCCAGGCUGGUCUCGAGCUCCUGACCUAGUGAUCUGCCCACCUCAGCCUCCCAAAACACUGGGAUUACAAGCAUGAGCCACUGUGCCCGGCCAGUAUGGUUUUUAGAUGAGUAAAUCUCUUGUUAAUUUUGGAAGCUGCUGAACCAACAUCUCUUCCAACAUCUCCUCCUCCACCUCCCUUUUGAACUUCAGUAAGAUAUUGUAAGCAUUUGUAACAGAGCAGUUUCUGGAGCAAUUAACCUGGCCAGGUAUAACAAGUACCUCAUUCUCUGAGCCUAGUGGUGAACUGGGAGCUAGUGAUGGUCUUCCCUGAGCUUUGAGCCUCAAACUUUUCCAAUGGUUUUUUAAAUCCCCCACUGCCUGAAAUAUCUAUAGUAAUUUUUGUUUCCUGACUGAACUCUGAUACAACUAAACACAAAACACAUUUAAAAUUCUGAUCCUUUCAUAGUUCAUAAGCAUGAUUGGGUUUUCACACUAUGUGUAAGAUGUGCCUCCAUCAAACCUUGUUAGGAUGUUGGCAUAUCACCCAUCUGAUGUGGGGGGAAAAUAAAAGUUCAAUGUAGUCCCAGCUACUCAGGAGACUGAGCCAAGAGGACCACCUGAGCCCAGGAGUUCGGGCUGCUGUGGGAAAUGACUGAACUUGUGAAUAUCACUGCACUCCAGCCUGGGCAACAGUGCAAGACCUAGUCUCUGAAAAAACAGUUCUAGAGACAAAUGACAAUCCACAUAAAGUUAGUGUUUCUUUCGUUGGAAGUUACAGAAAAUGACUCAAGCUAGCAUCAGUUGAGGGUGGGAGAAAAAAAUUUUAUUAUAAAAAUUCAGGCUUACAGAACUCAAAAAUAGAAAUGCAAUCAGUAAUCAGUCCUAAGAAAGUACUAGAAUGAAUCCUUUGGAAGGACAGCAGGAACCUGGCAGCAUUCUCAAUAAACGUCUUGUUUCUUUGCCUAAAGGUUUUCUUCACUGCCUUUUCUAAGUGGUGGAGAGCAUGUAAAUUCAAAUCCCAAGUUUUCCCUUCUACUGCAUUCAAGAAGCCCAAUCUGAGAUUGAAAUCCUUCCGUUCCAAACCCAUAUCUCGCAAAAAGAAAAUCUGAUUAGUCCAAGUUAAAUUUCUUUUUUUAGUUUAUUUUUAUUUUAUUUAUUUUUUUGAGACGGAGCCUCGCUCUGUUGCCCAGGCUGGAGUGCGGCGGCCGGAUCUGGGCUCACUAUAACCUCCACCUCCCAGGUUCAAGUGAUUCUCCUGCCUCAGCCUCCCGAGUAGCUGGGACUACAGGCACGUGCCACCAUGCCUGGUUCAUUUUUGUAUUUUUAGUAGAGACGGGGUUUCACUAUGUUGGCGAGGCUGAUCUCGAACUCCUGACCUUGUGAUCUGCCCACGUCGGCCUCCCAAAGUGCUGGGAUAAAGGCGGGAGCCACGGCCCCCAGCAGCCACCGCCACCACUGCCUCCUCCUCCUUCUCCUCCUCCUCCUCCUCCUACUCCUCCUCCUCCUCCUCCUCAUCCUUCUCCUCCUCCUCCUUCUUCCUCUUUCUUUUGAGACAGGGUGUCUCUCUGUUGCUUAGGCUAGAGUGCAGUGGCAUGGUCACAGCUCACUGUGGCGUACUGAAGCCUCAACCUCCCAUCUCAGCCUUCCAAGUAGCUGGGACUACAGGCUCACACCACCAUGCCUGAUUUUGUUGUUGUUGUUAAGAAAUGAGGCCUCGCUCUGUUGCCCAGGCUGGUCUUGAACUCCUGGCCUCAAGUGAUGCUCUUGCCUCAGCCUCCCAAAUUUCUGGGAUUACAGGCAUGAGCCACUAUGCCCAGCCAUCAGCUUGAAUUUCAUCUUCUUUCCACUUAUCACCUUUGGCAGUAGGGGCAUGUUCAAACAGCAGCAGCGAAACUAUUUGAACCACCCUGAGGUUGGCGUGGGAACUUUCCGGAGAGAAUAGAUAAUCAAGAAAACAACAGUGUCAGGUGUCUACUGAGGAAAAUUGUGCAAUACAUAUACGUGUUACCUGGGCGCUAUCCAGGACUACCAUGUGUGGUUAUGCGGGUUACUCACACGCAGCACACUUGGCUGAGGAUUAAGUAGGAUCUGAGCUUGGUGCCCCAAGCUGAAAGCUCUGGUGUGGGCUGCAUUCACUCAGAGGAAGAGGUUCCCUUUUAAAAUUAGCACAAGAGUGCUUCACCAGCUUUCAGGAAGUAGCUCUAGUAAUCGUUUUAAAAAUAUAUUAAUAUGCUUUUCUUUUCCUAGUGAUGGAAUGAGAUUUUUUAUCUUUUUUUUUUUUUUUUUUAUUCUGAGGCAACCAUUUGCUCUGGAGAGAAUGUGGACUGUUAGGUCACAAAUGGAAAAUAGGAUGAAAAAGUCAAUUUUCAGAUUUUAUAAAGCAAACUAGGAUCUUAAAACCAGUCAUGAGAAAAUGGCCUGGCAAGUCAGACUUUAUUAUAAGAAAAGGAUUUCAGAAUUUUAAAAGCAUCCUUUCAUAUAUCAAAAGCAAGGCUUAGAUGUUGGGAAAUUGAGUUUUAUUAUAAAGCUGUGUAUAGAGAAGAUCCAAAUCAUGAAAAGGAAUUAGAGAGCCCAAGACUCAGGGAAGGAGGAGAAAGAAAAGCAAUAAAGGGGGAAAAGGCUGGGCGCGGUGGCUCAUGCCAGCACUUUCGGAGGCCGAGGCGGGUGGAUCAUCUGAGGUCAGGAGUUCGAGACCACCCUGGCCAAAGUGGUGAAACCCUGUCUCUACUAAAAUUACAAAAAUUAGGUGGACAUGGUGUUGAGUGCCUGUAGUCCCAGCUACUUGAUAGGCUCAGGCAGGAGAAUCGGUCGAACCCAGGAGGCAGAGGUUGCGGUGAGCAGAGAUUGCACCACUGCACUCCAGCCUGGGCGACAGAACAAGACUCCAUCUCAAAAAAAAAAAAAAAAAAGAAAAUAAAAUAAAAGAAAGAAAGGGGGAGGGGAAGGUUUAGGUUCACCUUCUGGGAAGAAACGUCCAAAUAAGUUUUUGGGACUCAGUCUAGGGGUGCUUUCUCCUGACUUCUCAGUGCAUAAUCCAAGAAAUCAAAAGCCCCUUUGAAAACACUCUCCAUUCAGUAAAGGCGAGAGACACAUGACUGCAUCCAAGUGCUAAUUUUGAAAUGGUUGAGGAGGUUUCUAGGCAAAUGGGCCCAAGAUAGUGCCUGCAUUCCCUAAUAACUGCAGAUCUUUGUAAAAAAUCAAAAGUUCACACAAGCCUCCAUGGGGCACAUGGAAAAGCUAAGAGAACUGAAAUUCCAAAGAAGACCUGGGGUCAGAAUAUAAAAGCUGCUUGUUACAGGGACUUUACAACUGGAGACCAGGGCAGGAAAAGGAACCUUAGAAUUUAGCAGCUGAUGUUGACAGAGUGCCUAAAGUAAUCAUGUGGGACAAGCUACACAUCCAUGAUCUCCAGCACUGAUGUCCAGGCCAGAGCAGCCAAGCCACAUUUCACUGUCUUUUCUCCACACCUGCCUUUUUUUUUUUUUCUUGAGACAGGGUCUCAUUCUGUUGCCUAGGCUGGAGUGCAGUGGUGCCAUCAUAGCUCACUGUAGCCUCAAAUUCCUGGGCUCAAGUGACCAUUUUGCCUCAGCCUCCCAAGUAGCUGGGACUACAGGUGAGAGCUACCACACUCAGCUAAUUUCUUAAAAAAAAAAUUGUAGGCUGGGCACGGUGGCUCAGGCUUGUAAUUCCAGCACUUUGGGAGGCCAAGGCGGGUGGAUCACCUGAGGUCAGGAGUUUGAGACCAUCCUGGCCAACACGGCGAAACCCUGUCUCUACUAAAAAUACAAAAAUUAGCUGGGUGUAGUGGUGCAGACCUGUAAUCCCAGCUACUAGGGAGGCUGAGGCAGGAGAAUCAUUUGAACCCAGGAGGCAGAGGUUGCAGGGAGCCGAAAUCGCGUCAUUGCACUUCAGCCUGGGCGAUAGAGUGAGAUUCCAUCUCAAAAAAAAAAAAAAUUUUUUUUGUAGAGACGAGGUCUUGCCAUGUUGGCCAGACUGGUCUUGAACUCCUAGGCUCAAAGGAUCCUCCCAUCUCAGCCUCCCGAACUGCGAGGAUUACAGGCAUGAGCCACAGUGCCCAGCCCCUGCUUUGAUGGUACAUGAACUUCCCCUCAACCAAUGCCAUUUGAUAAGGAGGAUUGAGAGGGGAGGCAUUUUCAAGGUAGAAAGGCAGCCUGGUAGAAAUCUAGGAAUAGAUAGAUUAUCUAACAAAAGGAACUAGUAUGGACUGAAAGAGACUGUGCUUAAACAGGAGAAGGCUGAUUUGCUUUUCCCUGGCAAUACAAAGAUUUUUCUUGCACUUUCACUUGGACUGGGGCUUGAGAACAAGAUGAGUUAUAAAUAAUACAACUUUUUUUUGUAUCUGAUACACAGUUUGUAAGUUUUUACCUUACUACAUAUGAGAGAGAAAGGGUUAUUAUUCCUUUGGGGAAGCUGUAUAUUAUAAUGGUCCAAAAUACUGUGCUAAUGUGGUGAUUACUAACCACAUGCAACUAUUUUAUUUUAUUAUUUAUUUCUUCUUUUUUUUUUUGAGACAGGGUCUCCCUCUGUAGCCCAGGCUGGAGGGCAGUGGUGCAAUCUCAGCUCACUGCAACUUCUGCCUCCCAGGUUCAAGCAAUUCUCCUGCCUCAGCCUCCCGAGUAGCUGGGAUUACAGGUGCCACCAUGCCUGGCAUAUUUUUGUAUUUUUAGUAGAGACGGGGUUUCACCAUGUUGGUCAGGCUGGUCUGGAACUCCCAACCUCAGGUGAUCCACCCGCCUUGGCCUCCCAAAGUGCUGGGAUUACAGGCAUGAACCACUGUGCCCAGCCCACAUGCAACUAUUUUAAUUGAAAUUAAAUAAAAUUAAAAUUUCUAUUUAUACUUCAACUUUCAGGUGCUCAUUUCAGGCAGUACUGAUAUGGUUAGCAGUCACCAUAUUGGCAAUGCAAUACAGAUUUACAGAAAAUUUCCAUCAUCACAGAAAGUCUUACUUGACAGUGUCUGAUUGCCCUGCCAACACUCUCUCCUCCACACGUUUGCCGGUACUUGUUAUUGUCUUUUUGAAUAUAGCCAUCAUAGUGGGUGUGAAGUUGUAUCUCACUGUGGCUUUGAUUUGCAUUUCCCUAAUCACUAGUAUGUUCAAUAUCUUUUCAUGUGCUUCUUGGCUAGUUGUAUAUCUUCCUUAGAAAGUUAUCUGUUCAGAUCCUUUGGACAUCUUCUAUUGGGUUGUCUUUUAUUUUUUAUUAUUUAUUUAUUUUUUUAUUUUUUUGAGCUGGAGUCUCACUCUGUCUCCCAGGCUGGAGUGCAGUGGCGCGAUCUCGGCUCACCGCAAGCUCCGCCUCCCAUGUUCACGCCAUUCUCCUGCCUCAGCCUCCCGAGUAGCUGGGACUACAGGCACCUACCACAACUCCUGGCUAAUUUUUUGUGUUUUUAGUAGAGACGGGGUUCCACUAUGUUGGCCAGGCUGGUCUUGAACUCCUGACCUUGUGAUCCGCCUGCUUCAGCCUCCCAAAGUGCUGGGAUUACAGGCGUGAGCCACCACGCGUGGCCUGUUUUUUGUUUUUUGAGAUGGAUCUAGCAUUACCAGUAUUAGAGGCACUGAAUGCCCAGUGACAUAUGUUCAACGGCUGCCGUAUCCUGACCGUGCAAAGGUAGCAUAAUCACUUGUUCCCUAAAUAGGGACUUGUAUGAAUGGCCACAUGAGGGUUUAGCUGUCUCGCUCUGUCACCCAGGCUGGAGUGCAGUGUCACAAUCUGGGCUCACUGAAACCUCUGCCUCCCAGGUUCAAGCAAUCCUCACACCUCUGCCUUCCAAGUAGCUGGGAUUACAGGCUUGCCCCACCAUGCCUGGCUAAUUUUUUUUUUUUUUUUUUUUUUUCAGACAGAGUCUUGCUCGGUUGCCAGGUUGGAGUGCAGUGGCGUGAUCUCGGCCCACUGCAACAUCUGCCUCCUGGGUUCAGGUGAUUCCCCUGCCUCAGCCUCCCGAGUAGCUGGGAUUAUAAGCAUGAGCCACUGCACCCGGCUAUGUUUUUGUAUUUUUAGUAGAGACAGGGUUUCGCCAUGUUGGCCAGCCUGGUCUUGAACUCCUGGUCUCAAGUGAUCCGCCCCCUUUGGCCUUCUGAAGUGCUGGGAUUACAGGCCUGAGCCACCGCGCUCUGCCCCUUUAUAUAUUUUGGAUACAACUCUCCUAUCACAUCUAUGAGUUGUAGUAUUUGCUCCCAUUCUGUAGAUGUUCUUUUCACUUUGUUAGUGAUAUCCUUAGGAGCACAAAAGGUUUUAAUUUCAAUUAAGUUCAAAGUAUAUCUUUUUCUCUUGUCAUUUGUGCUUUUGGUGCCCUAAGAAACCAUGGCAUAAUUGAGGGAACAAUGGUUUAUGCCUAACUUUCUUCUGAGAGUUUUAUAGUUUUAGCCCUUACAUUUGUGUCUAUGUUUUAUUUUGAGUUAAUUUUUAUAUAUGGUGUGAGGUGGAGGUCCAAAUGUAUUCUUUUGCAUGUGGCUAUUCAGUUGUCCCAGCAUCAUUUAUUGAAAAGACUAUUCUUUCCCCAGUGAUUUGUUUUGGCACCCUUGAUGAAAACGAAUGAAACAAAAGUGUAAGGAUUUAUUUCUGAGUUCUCAAUUUCAUUCCAUUAAUCUAUAGGUGUAGCCUAGUGCCAGUGCCACACUGUCUUGAUUAGUGUAGCUUUGUAGUAAGUUUUGAAAUUAUUAAAUGUGAAUACUCCAAUUUGGCUCCUCAAGAUUGUUUUGGCUAUGCUGGGUCCUCUGCAUUUCCAUAUGAACUUUAGGAUUGGCUUGUCAAUUUCUGCAAAAAGCCAGUUGGUAGUUUGUUAAUCUUAUUAAAUAUCUCUUGUAUGUGAUUACAUCAAUCUGUAGGUCAAGUUGGGAAGUGUUGCAACCUUAACAAUAUUGUCUCCUGGUCCAUAAACAUGGGAUGUAUUUUGUAUUUUCACUUUUAUUUACAUCUUCUUUUAUUUCAUUCAGCAGUAUUUUGUCACUUUUCAGUGUACAAGCUUUUUGUUUAAUUUACUCCUGAGUAUUUAAUUUUUUUGAUGCUAAUAUAAAAGUAACUUUUCUUAAUUUCACUUUUAGAUUAUUCAAUGCUAUUGUAUAGAAAUACGAUUUUUUUUUUUUUUUUUUUUUUUUUUGAGACAGGGUCUCACUUUGCCACCCAGGCUGGAGUACAGUGGCUCGAUCUUAGCUCACUGCAACCUUCACCUCCCCAGCUCAAGCAAUUCUCUCACCUCAGCCUUCUGAGUAGCUGGGACUACAGGUUCACACCACCACAACUGGCUAAUUUUUUUUUUUUUUUUUGAGACGGAGUCUCACUCUGUCGCCAGGCUGGAAGGCAGUGGGACAAUCUUGGCUCACUGCAACAUCUGCCUUCAGGGUUCAAGCGAUUCUCCUGCCUCAGCCUCCCAAGUAGCUGGGACUAUAGGUGCUCGCCACCAUGCCCAGCUAAUUUUUGUAUUUUUAGUAGAGACAGGGUUGUUGGCCAGGAUGGUCUCCAUCUCUUGACCUCGUGAUCUGCCCUCCUUGGCCUCCCAAAGUGCUGGGAUUACAGGCGUGAGCCAUCGCGCCUGGCCUUUUUUUUUUUUUCGGUAGGGACAGACUUUCACCAUGUUGCCCAGGUUGAUCUUGAACUCCUGGGCUCAAGCGAUCCACCAGCCUCAGCCUUCCAAAGUUCUGGGAUUACAGGCUGGUCUUGAACUCCUGACUUCAGGUGAUCUGUCCGCCUCAGCCUCCCAAAGUGCUAGUCCAUUUACACUCAAUUAUUGAUAAAGUAAUACAUGUUUACAUUUUUUUCUAUUUAUUUUCUAGAUGGCUUAUACCUUUUUUGUUCUAUUCCAUGAGUAGUACCUUUUUUCAUGUUAAAUACAUGCUUUCUACUGUACUGUUUUAAUUCUCUUAUUGUUUCUUUUUCUGUAUAUUUUUGUGUUAUUUUGUUACUGGCUGCCUAGUGGGUUAUAAUGAACAUUUUUAAACAACCUAGUUCCAAUUAGUACCAAGUUAACUUCAAUACUAUACCAAGACUUUGCUCCAAUAUAGCUCCUUUCCCUCUCCCACUUUGUGCUAUUAUUGUCACAAAUUACAUCUUUAAACAUUAUAAGCCCAUUAACGCAGCUUUAUAAUUAUUGAUCUCUGCAGUUGUCUUUUAAAUCAGUUAGAAGAAAGAGUUACAAACAAAAUACAUUUAUAUUUGUUUUAUAUUGACCUACAUAGUUAGUGCUCUUUCUUUCUUCAUGUGAAUUCAAGUAACUGUGUAGUGUCUUUCAUUUCAACCUGAAGGACUUCUUUAUUUUAUUUUUAAUUUUAAAUUUAUUUAUUUAUUUCUAAAAUACACAGGAUCUCACUGUGUUGCCCAGGCUGAUCUCAAAUUCCUGGGCUCAAGCAGUUCUCCUGCCUUGGCCUCCCAAAGUGCUGAGAUUACAGGUAUGAGCCACCCCUCCUAUCCCCUUUUAGUAUUUCUUGAGAACAAGUCUCCUAAUGAUAAAAUUUUCUUAGUGGUUUUGCUGUUGUUGUUGUUUUUAAAGCUAGGAAAGUCUUAAUUUCUCCUUUGUUUGUGAAGGAUAGUAUUGGUGAAAUUGUAUACAAUUCUUGGUUGAUAGUAAUUUUCUUUAAAGACUUUUAAUAUGAUAUUCAUUGCCUCUUGAUCAAGAGUAUGUUACUGCAUUUUCUUUCUGCUCUUCCCUUUUGUGUGUGUGUUUGUGUAUGUGUUUGUUACUGCAUUUCAAAGCCUUCUAGAGAGGUCUCAUUCCCCAGAUUUUCCCUUUUUCUAUCUUUCUUUCUUUUUUUAGAGAUGAGGGUCUCACUAUGUUGCCCUAGCUGGCGUCAACCCUUGGGCUCAAGCAAUCUUCCCCCAUCAGCCUCCCAAAGAGUUCGGAUGACAGGUGCAUGUCACUACUCUGAGCCUCUUUUAAGUUUUUUGUUCGUUUGUUUGUUUGUUUGUUUGAGACAACGUCUUGCUCUGU